CCUACGGGAGGCAGCAGUGGGGAAUAUUGCUCAAUGGGGGAAACCCUGAUCCAGCGACGCCGCGUGAGUGAAGAAGUAUCUCGGUACGUAAAGCUCUAUCAGCAGGGGAGAAAAUGACGGUACCUGACUAAGAAGCACCGGCUCACUACGUGCCAGCAGCCGCGGUAAUACGUAGGGGGCAAGCGUUAUCCGGAUUUACUGGGUGUAAAGGGAGCGUAGACGGCAGCACAAGUCUGGAGUGAAAUCCCGGGGCUUAACCCCGGAACUGCUGUGGAAACUGUGCGGCUGGAGUGCAGGAGGGGUAAGCGGAAUUCGUAGUGUAGCGGUGAAAUGCGUAGAUAUUAGGAGGAACACCGGUGGCGAAGGCGGCUUACUGGACUGUAACUGACGUUGAGGCUCGAAAGCGUGGGGAGCAAACAGGAUUAGAUACCCCUGUAGUC
rnacentral:rRNA from 1 species